CUAGGGAGGCAGCAGUGAGGAAUAUUGGUCAAUGGGCGAGAGCCUGAACCAGCCAAGUCGCGUGAGGGAAGACGGUCCUAUGGAUUGUAAACCUCUUUUGUCGGGGAGCAAAAAGGCCUCGUGAGGCCACAAGUGAGAGUACCCGAAGAAAAAGCAUCGGCUAACUCCGUGCCAGCAGCCGCGGUAAUACGGAGGAUGCGAGCGUUAUCCGGAUUUAUUGGGUUUAAAGGGUGCGUAGGCGGCCUUUUAAGUCAGCGGUGAAAGUCUGUGGCUCAACCAUAGAAUUGCCGUUGAAACUGGGAGGCUUGAGUAUGUUUGAGGCAGGCGGAAUGCGGGGUGUAGCGGUGAAAUGCUUAGAUAUCACGCAGAACCCCGAUUGCGAAGGCAGCCUGCCAAGCCAUGACUGACGCUGAUGCACGAAAGCGUGGGGAUCAAACAGGAUUAGAUACCCCAGUAGUC
rnacentral:rRNA from 1 species